rnacentral:lncRNA from 1 species
UGCAUUAUUUGAUCAAAAAAUAUUUUCACUUUCAUUUAAAGCAAUACAUUUAAGAUUUUAUGCAUCAAAUCUUCGAGCAGUGUGAUCGGCCUCAGCGGUCUAAGUGGUCGAACUAUAGUCUUUCAUCAGGAAAUAUGGCGGAUGAUAGUAGGUACAACCUUAGAUCGUUGGGCAAUUAUCAACUACAAGGUAAUGACUAUCAUUGUUCAUGAUCAAUAUCGUUUUUGUUUCAUCUGCAUGUCCCGUUGGCUGAUAUAGUGGAGCU